GAUGAACGCUGACAGAAUGCUUAACACAUGCAAGUCAACUUGAACUUCGGUUUGGGUGGCGGACGGGUGAGUCACGCGUAAAGAACUUGCCUCACAGAUAGGGACAACAUUUGGAAACGAAUGCUAAUACCUGAUAUUAUGAUUAUAUGGCAUCGUAUAAUUAUGAAAGCUAUAUGGGCUGUGAGGGAGCUUUUCGUCCCAUUAGGUAGUUGGAGAGGUAACGGCUCACCAAGGCGAUGAUGGGUAGCCGGCCUGAGAGGGUGAUAGGCCAAAAGGGGAAAGAGAAACGGCCCGUACGCAAAAGGGGGGGAGGAGGGGGGAAAAAUGGAAAAAGGACCAAGAGUCUGAAACAGGAAUUCUGAGUGGAAGAAGAAGUUUUUCGGAAUGAAAAGAGGUUUCAGUUGGGAAGAAAAAAAUGACGGUACCAAAAGAAGAAGGGACGGCUAAAUACGUG
rnacentral:rRNA from 1 species